UACGGGGGGGGUAAGCGUUGUUCGGAAUUACUGGGCGUAAAGGGCUCGUAGGCGGCCAACUAAGUCGGACGUGAAAUCCCUCAGCUUAACUGGGGAACUGCGUCCGAUACUGGAUGGCUUGGAUUUGGGAGAGGGAUGCGGAAUUCCAGGUGUAGCGGUGAAAUGCGUAGAUAUUCGGAAGAACACCAGUGGCGAAGGCGGCUCACUGGACCGGUAUUGACGCUGAGGUGCGAAAGCGUGGGGAGCAAACAGG
rnacentral:rRNA from 1 species